rnacentral:rRNA from 1 species
CAGGGCCUACGGGAGGCAGCAGUGGGGAAUAUUGCACAAUGGGGGAAACCCUGAUGCAGCGACGCCGCGUGAGUGAAGAAGUAAUUCGUUACGUAAAGCUCUAUCAGCAGGGAAGAAAAUGACGGUACCUGACUAAGAAGCCCCGGCUAACUACGUGCCAGCAGCCGCGGUAAUACGUAGGGGGCAAGCGUUAUCCGGAUUUACUGGGUGUAAAGGGAGCGUAGGCGGUAAUGCAAGUCAGAAGUGAAAGCCCGGGGCUCAACUCCGGGACUGCUUUUGAAACUGUGUUACUAGAUUGCAGGAGG